CUGAGUUGAGAGACGAGUCUACGUAGGAUCAUGGGCUCCAUGUUCCGGAGUGAAGAGGUGGCCUUGGUCCAGCUCCUGUUGCCCACAGCAUCUGCCUACAACUGUGUGAGCCAGCUGGGUGAGCUGGGCCUCGUGGAGUUUAGAGACCUCAACGAAUCGGUGAGUGCCUUCCAGAGACGCUUCGUGGUAGAGGUCCGGCGCUGCGAGGAGCUGGAGAAGACCUUCACCUUCUUGCGGGAAGAAGUGCAGCGGGCAGGCCUGACACUGACCCCACCCGAGGGGACACUGCCAGCACCACCUCCCCGAGACCUGCUGCGCAUCCAGGAGGAAACGGACCGCUUGGCCCAGGAGCUUCGGGAUGUUCGAGGCAACCAACAGGCACUUCGGGCCCAGCUGCACCAGCUACAGCUCCACUCAGCCGUGCUGGGCCAGAGCCACGCCCCUCCGAUGGCAGCUGUCCAUACGGAGGGACCCACCACUGAGAGAACACCCCUGCUUUCAGCCACCCCAGGGCCACAUGCAGACCUGAAGGUCAAGUGAGUGGGGGCAGUUUGUCUUUUCUUGACAGCCUGAGGGCACUGACCAAAGACAGGGACCCUUUGGCCCCUGAGUCUCUGUUUGUUGUGUUUGGGGGGGGGGUUCCCUGUGGGUGCUUCCUACUGAGCUGGCUUGGGAGGAGGCUGCAGUCCCCCUCCAGCUCUGUUGCAGUUUUGUGGCAGGUGCUGUGGAGCCUUGCAAGGCUGCAGCCCUGGAGCGCCUGCUUUGGAGAGCUUGCCGCGGCUUCCUCAUUGCCAGCUUUAAGGAGACUGAGGGGCAGCUGGAGGACCCGGUGACGGGUGAGCCUGCAACUUGGAUGACCUUUGUCAUCUCCUACUGGGGUGAGCAGAUCGGACAGAAGGUUCGGAAGAUCACAGACUGCUUUCACUGUCAUGUCUUCCCGUACCUGGAGCAGGAGGAAGCCCGGCUCAGGACCUUGCAGCAGCUGCAGCAGCAGAGCCAGGAGCUUCAGGAGGUCCUGGGGGAGACAGAACGGUUCCUGAGCCAGGUGUUGGGCCGGGUGCAGCAGCUGCUGCCCCCAGGGCAGGUGCAGAUCCGGAAGAUGAAGGCCGUGUACCUGACCCUCAACCAGUGCAGUGUGAACACCACACACAAGUGCCUCAUUGCGGAGGUCUGGUGUGCCACGAGGGACCUUCCCACUGUACAGCAGGCGCUGCAGAGCGGCUCGAGUGAGGAAGGAGUGAGUGCUGUGGCUCACCGUAUCCCUUGCCAGGACAUGCCUCCAACUCUCAUCAGGACCAACCGCUUCACCUCCAGCUUCCAGGGCAUUGUGGAUGCCUAUGGUGUG
rnacentral:lncRNA from 1 species